rnacentral:rRNA from 1 species
ACCUGCGGAGGGAUCAUUACCGAGUUUACAACUCCCAAACCCCAAUGUGGAACGUUACCAAACUGUUGCCUCGGCGGGAUCUCUGCCCCGGGCGCGUCGCAGCCCCGGACCAAGGCGCCCGCCGGAGGACCAACCACAAACUCUUUUGCAUAUCCCUUCGCGGAUUUUUUUUCUUAUUCUGAGCCCUCUCGGCGCUCCUAGCGGGCGUUUCGAAAAUGAAUCAAAACUUUCAACAACGGAUCUCUUGGUUCUGGCAUCGAUGAAGAACGCAGCGAAAUGCGAUAAGUAAUGUGAAUUGCAGAAUUCAGUGAAUCAUCGAAUCUUUGAACGCACAUUGCGCCCGCCAGUAUUCUGGCGGGCAUGCCUGUCCGAGCGUCAUUUCAACCCUCGAGCCCCUCCGGGGGGUCGGCGUUGGGGAUCGGCCGCCUGGCGGCCGGCCCCGAAAUACAGUGGCGGUCUCGCCGCAGCCUCUCCUGCGCAGUAGUUUGCACACUCGCACCGGGAGCGCGGCGCGUCCACGUCCGUAAAACACCCCAAAACUUCUGAAAGGUGA